UUCAAACCCUAAUCCAUCUUCAUUGAGACCUCCAUCACAUUCACCAGCACUAUCAUCGCCAUCUCUAAUUGCCGCCGAUCUCACCUUCUUGUUCGAUUGGUAUAUUGAUCGUGGCUUUAACUGAGAUUAGGUUGCGGAUGAAUGCAUCAUCGCAGAUCAUCAUUGGUACUUAGCAGCCCACCUCACCCUCCUCUUGGUUCGCGGCAGAUGCUGCUCAAUUCGCUGUCUCAGCAGUUCGAAGAUGGAUUUGAAUGAGCACGACGAAGUACAAGACUUUCUGGAGAAGCAACUUCUAGUAUAAAUUCCAAUGCCUCACAAGCAGGAGGAGGAACUGGGACUAAUCAUUCUUCAUCAUCUAGAUUUCUUGGAUGAUUCUCUUCAUCAUCUUCUAAAACUAGUUCAGCUGCCUUUCGGACCAUGGCAGGUCGUAAGGGACCAUCAUGCAUUUCUGAAAGUUUUGAUGAAGGGAGGAAAACAGAGGUUUUUGGCGAUUCCUGUGGAGAGGAUGCUUUCGACAACAAUGUCAUCUGUAGCAAUUUUUGUUGAUUGUAGAUAUCUUGAAGAAGAGAAGAUUAAUUUACAUGCUGGUGGGUUAUCUGUGCAUGAUUCAAAACUGAUAAAUGGCAUCUGAGAACUAUUGGGACUCUUGCGUACUCUUGGGGAAGGCU